ensembl:lncRNA LINC02405 long intergenic non-protein coding RNA 2405
UUCUUUCUUUCUUUCUUUCUUUUUUUUUUUUUGAGACCGAGCCUCACUCUGUUUUCCAGGUUGGAGUGCAAUGACACAAUCUUGGCUCACUGCAAUCCCAUCUCCACCUCCCAGGUUAAAAAAAUUCUUCUGCCUCAGCUUCCCAAGUAGCUGGGAUUACAGGUGUACACCACCACACCCGGCUAAUUUUUGUAAUUUUAGUAGAGAUGGGGUUUUGCCAUGUUGGCCAGGCUAGUCUCAAACUCCUGGCCUCAAGUGAUCUACCUGUCUUGGCCUCCCAAAGGGCUGGGAUUAUAGGCAUGAGCCACUGUGCGUGGUCCACAUAUUCAGUUUUUACCUACUGUUUCUCUUUCUCACAAACUAAGCCAAACAUUUGGUUCCAACUGAUUUCUUCCUCUUCUUUCUGACAUAGUCAAUGAAUUUCUAAAGUAAAAGAAUGGAAUUUCAGCUACAAAACAACAUAAGAAUGGUUUUCUUUAAAAAGUGCACCUAUCACUGUUUUGGAAUUUUUUCCCUAGUACUGCUUAUUUAUCUGGCCAUCAGAAACAGUGGCAGAUGCCUACAUUUUGAUAAAACAUUUUAGAAAAUAUGCCAGAGACUGAGAGCAGGAGAAACUGCUGAAGGAGAACAUAAUGUUCAUAUUUAUCUAAAUGUGUUUAUUUACAUUAAUGUUUUUAUUGGUAGCAGAAUAUGGUGACAUGCAGACUUUUUCUAAAAUGUAAUAUGUAAUGCUUCGUUCAGGGCGCAAAAUUUUUCUUACAAUUUCUACCUUAUAUAUGAUUGAGUGACACUUUGGAAAGAUCACUGCUGUCCAAAUGUUCUCUCUACAUUUUAAUCCAAUACAAAUAUACUGUAUUACUUUAAAACUUUUUUCCCCAAAAUUGUAUCCAUUAUGAUCAUGGGCAAGGAUGAUGUCUAGGAUAUGAUUCUGAGAUUGUAUAAGUGAUACGAGAUCGAGGAAAACGUUGUUUAAAGAGAGGUAAAUAAACUGAAAGCACAGGCAUGUAAAAGGAUUAUUUGUGUGAAAACUGGAACCACAAAGAAUGAUGAUAAAAGAGUGUUGAGGAGGGGGAGGGGGAGCCAAGAAUUGAAAGCUUUAUGACAUGAGGAAGGAGGACAUUUGUGUCAUCUACCAAUAAGUAGGACAAAGAUAGACAGUAAUGGUGAAAUUUGAGUUUCAAAACACAGUGAUUAGUAACAUUGCAGAAGAAACAAUGAAAAACAAGCAGGAUGCCUACUUUAUGCCUAGAGUCAAGAGUCACCACGAAUUGGUGGAUGAAUACGUUAGUUUCAUUUCUCUAUUGUCAAGGGAAGAUAACUCUCAGGUGUGUAUUCUAUGCUCCUUCCAAAUGUUCCUCACUGAGUUUAAGCUCUGAUUGCCCCACAGUGGUGACCAGCUUGAUAGCACUCCUUUUAAAAGCUUCUUCCCUUUUCUUUCUCACUACUUCACAUUCCUACAGUGUUUUCUGAUAAUACGGACCAAAGAAAUUAUUUGCACUUGAAUUCUCAUCUCAGUGUCAUCCUCUAGCUGAUGACAUCAUGAGAAAACUGCAUCCUCCACUUUGCUGAUUAUGAGGAAAGAACCCACCAAGCUACCCCGAGAACUGAGACUACCAUACACCUAAGAAGUCAAAGUUGCUAUUCAAGGGGAAGUGCAAACACAAGAUGAGGGAAACUGAUGUAUUUAGUGUCUACAUUUUACAAAUGGAUGCUUUUCAUAAUAUGAAAAUACUGCACCAUAAGAUUGCCAGUCACAACAGCACGGCUACAGUGAAAAUGAUCCCAGUGGAUUUGUUACGGUGAGAAAGCUUCACUUGGAGACAAAGCCAAAACCUUCCUCCCAGGCUCCCUUGGAUGUAGGGGGAAGCAAACUGGCUGUCCAGGCCUCUGAGCCACAUCUACACACCUCAUGAGAGGGCCUGUGCAACAUUGCCUUAGAGAUGGAGAGCAUUGCUUCAGAAUCAGGGAAGCCUAAAUUUCACCCCUGGGGCUGCCCCUUGUGAUCUUGAAUGGCUCCUGACAAGAGGCUGCUGGGGAGGCUCCUGCUCCCUGCCUUUCGGGACUGCCGUGGAUUGCCCAUUGAUGGGUCAAAAUCCAGCUACCUGGUAAUUCAAUGAGUCCCUAGUGUGCAUCCAAUAAAUUAUCUUCUGUUUAAAUUAGAACAAA